rnacentral:rRNA from 1 species
CCCCUAGACGUUCUGGGCUGCACGCGCGCUACAAUAAUACGCACAGCGAGUAUCACCGAGCUCGAAAGGGCAAGGUAAACAAUAGAAAAGGUACUGUAAUGGUUAUAGAUCCUUGUAAUUAUUGAUCUUCAACGAGGAAUUCCUAGUAAGUAUGUGUCAUCAUCACGCACUGAUUACGUCCCUGCCCUUUGUACACACCGCCCGUCGCUCCUACCGAUUGGGUGAGCCGAUGAAACUCUCGGAUGUAGGCUAUUCAUAGCCCGCAGAAGAGAUUUGAAUCGUAGCGCUUAGAGGAAGGAGAAGUCGUAGCA